rnacentral:rRNA from 1 species
GACGAACGCUGGCGGCGUGCUUAACACAUGCAAGUCGAACGGAAAGGCCCUGCUUUUGUGGGGUGCUCGAGUGGCGAAAGGGUGAGUAACACGUGAGUAACCUGCCCUUGACUUUGGGAUAACUUCAGGAAACUGGGGCUAAUACCGGAUAGGAGCUCCUGCUGCAUGGUGGGGGUUGGAAAGUUUCGGCGGUUGGGGAUGGACUCGCGGCUUAUCAGCUUGUUGGUGGGGUAGUGGCUUACCAAGGCUUUGACGGGUAGCCGGCCUGAGAGGGUGACCGGCCACAUUGGGACUGAGAUACGGCCCAGACUCCUACGGGAGGCAGCAGUGGGGAAUAUUGCACGAUGGGCGGAAGCCUGAUGCAGCAACGCCGCGUGCGGGAUGACGGCCUUCGUGUUGUAAACCGCUUUCGCCUGUGACGAAGCGUGAGUGACGGUAAUGGGUAAAGAAGCACCGGCUAACUACGUG